rnacentral:tRNA from 1 species
UAGCUAAGCGGUAAAGCGCUGGGCUUCCGAACCAUAGGUCUCGGGUUCGAAUCCUGG